GAUGAACGCUGGCGGCGUGCCUAAUACAUGCAAGUCGAGCGAAGCGGGGACGGGUGAGUAACACGUGGAUAACCUCCUAUAAGACUGGGAUAACUUCGGGAAACCGGAGCUAAACCGGAUCCUUAUCGAUGGAUCUGUGCUGCAUUAGCUAGUUGGUAAGGUAACGGCUUACCAAGGCAACGAUGGAUAGCCGACCUGAGAGGGUGAUCGGCCACACUGGAACUGAGACACGGUCCAGACUCCAACGGGAGGCAGAAGUAGGGAAUUUUCCGAAAUGGGCGAAAGCCUGACGGAGCAACGCCGUGUGAGUGAAGAAGGUCUUCGGAUCGUAAAACUCUGUUAUUAGGGAAGCGGUACCUAACCAGAAAGCCACGGCUAACUACGUGCCAGCCGCCGCGGUAAUAC
rnacentral:rRNA from 1 species